rnacentral:rRNA from 1 species
AGUGAACGCUGGCGGUAGGCCUAACACAUGCAAGUCGAACGGCAGCACAGUAGAGCUUGCUCUCUGUGUGGCGAGUGGCGGACGGGUGAGGAAUACAUCGGCAUCUGCUCAGUCUUGGGGGAUAACGGAGGGAAACUUACGCUACUACCUCAUACGACCUGCUGGUUAGAGGGGGGGGGCGCAAGACGUCGGGCGGUUGGGUGCGCCGAUGUCGUAUUAGCUAGGUGGCGGGGUAAUGACCCACCGAGGCGACGAUCCGUUGAUGGUGUGAGAGUAUGAUCAGCCACACUGGAACUGAGACACGGUCCAGACUACUACGGGAGGCAGCAGUGGGGAAUAUUGGGCAGUGGGCGCGAGCCUGAUCCAGCCAUACCGCGUGGGUGGAGAAGGCGUUCGGGUUGUAAAGACCUCUUGUUGGGAAAGAAAUCUUUCAGGCUAAUACCCUGGGAGGAUGACGGUACCCAAAGAAUAAGCACCGGCUAACUUCGUG